UUGAUGAACGCUAGCUACAGGCUUAACACAUGCAAGUCGAGGGGCAGCAUGGUCUUAGCUUGCUAAGGCCGAUGGCGACCGGCGCACGGGUGAGUAACACGUAUCCAACCUGCCGUCUACUCUUGGACAGCCUUCUGAAAGGAAGAUUAAUACAAGAUGGCAUCAUGAGUCCGCAUGUUCACAUGAUUAAAGGUAUUCCGGUAGACGAUGGGGAUGCGUUCCAUUAGAUAGUAGGCGGGGUAACGGCCCACCUAGUCUUCGAUGGAUAGGGGUUCUGAGAGGAAGGUCCCCCACAUUGGAACUGAGACACGGUCCAAACUCCUACGGGAGGCAGCAGUGAGGAAUAUUGGUCAAUGGGCGAGAGCCUGAACCAGCCAAGUAGCGUGAAGGAUGACUGCCCUAUGGGUUGUAAACUUCUUUUAUAAAGGAAUAAAGUCGGGUAUGGAUACCCGUUUGCAUGUACUUUAUGAAUAAGGAUCGGCUAACUCCGUGCCAGCAGCCGCGGUAAUACGGAGGAUCCGAGCGUUAUCCGGAUUUAUUGGGUUUAAAGGGAGCGUAGAUGGAUGUUUAAGUCAGUUGUGAAAGUUUGCGGCUCAACCGUAAAAUUGCAGUUGAUACUGGAUAUCUUGAGUGCAGUUGAGGCAGGCGGAAUUCGUGGUGUAGCGGUGAAAUGCUUAGAUAUCACGAAGAACUCCGAUUGCGAAGGCAGCCUGCUAAGCUGCAACUGACAUUGAGGCUCGAAAGUGUGGGUAUCAAACAGGAUUAGAUACCCUGGUAGUCCACACGGUAAACGAUGAAUACUCGCUGUUUGCGAUAUACUGCAAGCGGCCAAGCGAAAGCGUUAAGUAUUCCACCUGGGGAGUACGCCGGCAACGGUGAAACUCAAAGGAAUUGACGGGGGCCCGCACAAGCGGAGGAACAUGUGGUUUAAUUCGAUGAUACGCGAGGAACCUUACCCGGGCUUAAAUUGCAGAUGAAUUACGGUGAAAGCCGUAAGCCGCAAGGCAUCUGUGAAGGUGCUGCAUGGUUGUCGUCAGCUCGUGCCGUGAGGUGUCGGCUUAAGUGCCAUAACGAGCGCAACCCUUGUUGUCAGUUACUAACAGGUUCCGCUGAGGACUCUGACAAGACUGCCAUCGUAAGAUGUGAGGAAGGUGGGGAUGACGUCAAAUCAGCACGGCCCUUACGUCCGGGGCUACACACGUGCUACAAUGGGGGGUACAGAGGGCCGCUACCACGCGAGUGGAUGCCAAUCCCCAAAACCUCUCUCAGUUCGGACUGGAGUCUGCAACCCGACUCCACGAAGCUGGAUUCGCUAGUAAUCGCGCAUCAGCCACGGCGCGGUGAAUACGUUCCCGGGCCUUGUACACACCGCCCGUCAAGCCAUGGGAGCCGGGGGUACCUGAAGUGCGUAACCGCGAGGAGCGCCCUAGGGUAA
rnacentral:rRNA from 1 species